rnacentral:rRNA from 1 species
UGAUACGUAGGGUGCGAGCGUUGUCCGGAUUUAUUGGGCGUAAAGAGCUUGUAGGCGGUUUGUCGCGUCGGGAGUGAAAACUCAGGGCUUAACCCUGAGCCUGCUUCCGAUACGGGCAGACUUGAGGAAGGUAGGGGAGAAUGGAAUUCCUGGUGAAGCGGUGGAAUGCGUAGAUAUCAGGAGGAACACCAGUGGCGAAGGCGGUUCUCUGGACCUUUCCUGACGCUGAGAAGCGAAAGCGUGGGGAGCAAACAGG